AUUUGAAAAAAAAAGCGCCGAGAGAUGAGUCCGAGAGUUAGAGCAAAAGCUUCUGAAAUAUGGGAAUAUUUCAGACCAACUGGUAAAAGAGACGCUGUACACUCUGUCAAACUUCACUUGGAAACACAGGAGUUGUUCAAGACGUUUGGAGCGUUUUUUUUCUCUCCUCCAUAUCACCUCCGGGGCUCCAAAGAUGCGCUCAGAAAAGAAGAAGACAACAAAGCAGUUCGCCGUCUUCACAAGUCUGAGACAAACUGUACCAGGCGCUACUAACCGGAGCAAGGACUAACCUCGCCUCAUAACGAGGCUGUGAUCUAUAUUUGCUCGGAGCUGUCUGCAAGUCCAGAUUUACAUGACGCUGAUAAUGACGCCAUUGUGUCUGCCUGUAAGACAUACUACGAGACAGCACGCAGGAGCUCCAGCUAGAAACAACCAGAUGUGGCAUCGCGGGCAGAAGCUGUGAAGAGCUCAGCUCGGAGUUGGUCGAGAAGAAAAGAGGGUAAGAUUAGAUCCGUUUGGUUAAUGUGAAUAUUUUUUACAGGCGCAGUACUGACUGUCUUUAUUGAUUGGGAGUGAGGUGAGCGGGACAUUUGGAAGUGCGCCACAUAGACAUACAGGACAACGCUCCACAGACGUCUGCUAAAUGGACCGAAGUUACCUACAGCUCCGAGGCAGCCGCGGGUUAGAUGUGAACGGUGCUGCUUCUCGUGAGCGUGGGAUAUUUGUUGUAUGUGCUGUGUGUCGUAUGCUAUGUACAUAGUUUUUUUCUGUCUGU